rnacentral:rRNA from 1 species
CGGAAAAAGAGGAGUGGCGAACGGGUGAGUAACACGUGGGUAACCUGCCCAUCAGAAGGGGAUAACACUUGGAAACAGGUGCUAAUACCGUAUAACAAUCGAAACCGCAUGGUUUUGAUUUGAAAGGCGCUUUCGGGUGUCGCUGAUGGAUGGACCCGCGGUGCAUUAGCUAGUUGGUGAGGUAACGGCUCACCAAGGCCA